UGUCUCUGCUAGGUAUAAGGUUUAUAGGAAAAUAAAUAAAUAAAUACCUCGCAGUUGAAAAACCACAACAUACACUUGGUGGUUUAAAUUGAUCUGUGUUUUUCCUUUCCCGUUAAAGGCUGAAAUUAAAUGCUUCUCUGGAGCAUUUCAAAUAUAUAUUAAAGAUUGUAAGCUCUCCAGGGCAUGGACUACCUUAAUACCUACCUCUUGAACAAUGCUGAGUGCAUGAGAACUGGAGGAGCAAACCUCAACAUUGGCA